rnacentral:rRNA from 1 species
AUUCCUACGGGAGGCAGCAGUGGGGAAUAUUGGACAAUGGGCGAAAGCCUGAUCCAGCAAUGCCGCGUGAGUGAUGAAGGCCUUAGGGUUGUAAAGCUCUUUUACUAGGGAUGAUAAUGACAGUACCUAGAGAAUAAGCUCCGGCUAACUCCGUGCCAGCAGCCGCGGUAAUAAU